rnacentral:rRNA from 1 species
UACAGAGGUCUCAAGCGUUGUUCGGAUUCAUUGGGCGUAAAGGGUGCGUAGGCGGCGCGGUAAGUCGGGGUGUGAAAUCUCGGAGCUUAACUCCGAAACUGCAUUCGAUACUGCCGAGCUUGAGGACUGGAGAGGAGACUGGAAUUUACGGUGUAGCAGUGAAAUGCGUAGAUAUCGUAAGGAAGACCAGUGGCGAAGGCGGGUCUCUGGACAGUUCCUGACACUGAGGCACGAAGGCCAGGGGAGCAAACGGG